rnacentral:lncRNA from 1 species
CGACAUAAAAAGGGGAUUCUUGUUGGGCGUUGGGUCCAUUCCUUCUGCCUAUUUUCUGAGGCCAUUUGGUCCGGCACUUGGUGCAGUGUGUGACUCCCAUUAUCCCGUUAGUCUUCCUAGUGCCAAGCAUGGGACAACCAUCUGUGCAUGAACAUCUGCCCAUGUGGUGACUCACAGGCAGGAGUCACAGGGCCACCCCACAGCGCUGUCAGGAGUUGAAGGAUAAGCCCUUACCGUGAACAGUGGCAGAAGCCAGUAGGCUCAAGGCUGGAAGUUUGGUUUCUGGAGGCAUAACCUGAUUUUGAAUCCUGUUCUAACUGCGGCCACGUGGCUAGAACUACUGUGGGCCCCCUGGGGCCGGCACAGGCUUGCCCUAAUUUCAUCUAUCCAAGAUUCAGCCCUUCCUGGUGCUCAAGGGACCAGUGUCCUCAGACACACCAAGGCCCUUCCCAACAUGGCCUCCUUGUACCCUUGGCCACAAAGUCUCCAAAUUCAAGUGUUUCAACUUAAGAAACUGCAAAGGCAGACCAUGAUUGGUGUCUUGGUGUCUUUUGGGAAAGUCUACAGAAAAUAAACUACAGGAGCGCAGAGGACUCAAGAUUGUGCCACUAUUUAUUUCCGCAGUAAAUAAUUCCUUUCCUGUGUGUGGAUUUUUUUUUUUUUUUAGCAGUUGCCCUGGGUUGAGCUGAAUAAACUAAUACAGCUUUUAAA